rnacentral:rRNA from 1 species
GUGAGGAAUAUUGGACAAUGGGCGCAAGCCUGAUCCAGCCAUGCCGCGUGCAGGAAGACGCAUCUAUGGUGUGUAAACUGCUUUUGUACGGGAAGAAACACUCCCUCGUGAGGGAGCUUGACGGUACCGUAAGAAUAAGGAUCGGCUAACUCCGUGCCAGCAGCCGCGGUAAUACGGAGGAUCCAAGCGUUAUCCGGAAUCAUUGGGUUUAAAGGGUCCGUAGGCGGUUUAAUAAGUCAGUGGUGAAAGCCCAUCGCUCAACGAUGGAACGGCCAUUGAUACUGUUAGACUUGAAUUACAAGGAAGUAACUAGAAUAUGUAGUGUAGCGGUGAAAUGCUUAGAUAUUACAUGGAAUACCAAUUGCGAAGGCAGGUUACUACUUGUGGAUUGACGCUAAUGGACGAAAGCGUGGGGAGCAAACAGGAUUAGAAACCCGAGUAGUCC